rnacentral:rRNA from 1 species
UACGGGAGGGUGCAAGCGUUAUCCGGAUUCACUGGGUUUAAAGGGUGCGUAGGUGGGCUAGUAAGUCCGUGGUGAAAUCUCCAAGCUUAACUUGGAAACUGCCGUGGAUACUAUUAGUCUUGAAUAUUGUGGAGGUAAGCGGAAUAUGUCAUGUAGCGGUGAAAUGCUUAGAUAUGACGUAGAACACCGAUAGCGAAGGCAGCUUGCUACACAAUCAUUGACACUGAGGCACGAAAGCGUGGGGAUCAAACAGG